AGGACGAACGCUGGCGGCGUGCUUAACACAUGCAAGUCGAGCGGAAAGGCCCUUCGGGGUACUCGAGCGGCGAACGGGUGAGUAACACGUGAGUAAUCUGCCCUUAGCUCUGGGAUAGCUCCGGGAAAACCGGGAUUAAUACCAGAUACGACCACUUUAGACAUCUGCCGUGGUGGAAAGAAUUUCGGCUAAGGAUGAGCUCGCGGCCUAUCAGCUUGUUGGUGGGGUAACGCCUACCAAGGCGACGACGGGUAGCCGGCCUGAGAGGGCGACCGGCCACACUGGGACUGAGACACGGCCCAGACUCCUACGGGAGGCAGCAGUGGGGAAUAUUGCACAAUGGGCGAAAGCCUGAUGCAGCGACGCCGCGUGAGGGAUGACGGCCUUCGGGUUGUAAACCUCUUUCAGCAGGGACGAAGCGAAAGUGACGGUACCUGCAGAAGAAGCACCGGCCAACGUACGCGCCAGCAGCCGCGGUAA
rnacentral:rRNA from 1 species